CAAUAGCGUAUAUUAAAGUUGUUGCAGUUAAAAAAGCUCGUAGUUGAACCUUGGGUCUGGCUGGCCGGUCCGCCUCACCGCGAGUACUGGUCCGGCUGGACCUUUCCUUCUGGGGAACCUCAUGGCCUUCACUGGCUGUGGGGGAACCAGGACUUUUACUGUGAAAAAAUUAGAGUGUUCAAAGCAGGCAUUUGCUAUGAAUACAUUAGCAUGGAAUAAUAAUCUAGGACUUCGGUUCUAUUUUGUUGGUUUCUAGAUCUGAAGUAAUGAUUGAUAGGGAUAGUUGGGGGGUGCUAGUAUUAAGGGGCCAGAGGUGAAAUUCUUGGAUUCUCUUAAGACUAACUUAUGCGAAAGCAUUCACCAAGGAUGUCUUCUUUAAUCAAGAACGAAAGUUGGGGGAUCGAAGACGAUUAGAUACC
rnacentral:rRNA from 1 species